rnacentral:rRNA from 1 species
GACGAACGCUGGCGGCGUGCUUAACACAUGCAAGUCGAACGGAAAGGCCCUGCUUUUGUGGGGUGCUCGAGUGGCGAACGGGUGAGUAACACGUGAGUAACCUGCCCUUGACUUUGGGAUAACUUCAGGAAACUGGGGCUAAUACCGGAUAGGAGCUCCUGCUGCAUGGUGGGGGUUGGAAAGUUUCGGCGGUUGGGGAUGGACUCGCGGCUUAUCAGCUUGUUGGUGGGGUAGUGGCUUACCAAGGCUUUGACGGGUAGCCGGCCUGAGAGGGUGACCGGCCACAUUGGGACUGAGAUACGGCCCAGACUCCUACGGGAGGCAGCAGUGGGGAAUAUUGCACAAUGGGCGGAAGCCUGAUGCAGCAACGCCGCGUGCGGGAUGACGGCCUUCGGGUUAUAAACCGAUUUCGCCUGUGACGAAGCGUGAGUGACGGUAAUGGGUAAGGAAGCACCGGCUAACUACGUG